AUGAACGCUGGCGGCGUGCCUCAUCCAUGCAAGUCGAGCGAACAGACGAGGAGCUUGCUCCUCUGACGUUAGCGGCGGACGGGUGAGUAACACGUGGAUAACCUACCUAUAAGACUGGGAUAACUUCGGGAAACCGGAGCUAAUACCGGAUAAUAUAUUGAACCGCAUGGUUCAAUAGUGAAAGACGGUUUUGCUGUCACUUAUAGAUGGAUCCGCGCCGCAUUAGCUAGUUGGUAAGGUAACGGCUUACCAAGGCAACGAUGCGUAGCCGACCUGAGAGGGUGAUCGGCCACACUGGAACUGAGACACGGUCCAGACUCCUACGGGAGGCAGCAGUAGGGAAUCUUCCGCAAUGGGCGAAAGCCUGACGGAGCAACGCCGCGUGAGUGAUGAAGGUCUUCGGAUCGUAAAACUCUGUUAUUAGGGAAGAACAAAUGUGUAAGUAACGAUGCACGUCUUGACGGUACCUAAUCAGAAAGCCACGGCUAACUACGU
rnacentral:rRNA from 1 species